rnacentral:rRNA from 1 species
GACGUAGGGUGCGAGCGUUGUCCGGAUUUAUUGGGCGUAAAGCGCGCGCAGGUGGUUUCUUAAGUCUGAUGUGAAAGCCCACGGCUCAACCGUGGAGGGUCAUUGGAAACUGGGGAACUUGAGUGCAGGAGAGAAGAGUGGAAUUCCACGUGUAGCGGUGAAAUGCGUAGAUAAUCUGGAGGAACACCGGUGGCGAAGGCGGCGAUCCUGGACCAAUAUUGACGCUGAGGAGCGAAGCCAGGGAGCGAAACGG